GCAAGUCGAAUGAGUUUAUACUCAUGGCAGACGGGGUAGGAACAAGUAGGUACGUACCGUAGAGUCACGGAUACUCCGGCGAAAGUCGGCAUAAUACGCGAUGGUCCCUUCGGGGUAAAGAUUUAUCGCUCUAUGAACGGCCUGCUUUCUAUCAGCUUGUUGGUAAGGUAACGGCUUACCAAGGCUACGACGGAUAGGGGAGGUGAGAGCCUGACC
rnacentral:rRNA from 1 species